rnacentral:rRNA from 1 species
CAAACGGGUGAGUAACACGUGGGCAAUCUGACUAGAAGUGGGGAAUAACGAACCGAAAGGUUCGCUAAUACCGCAUGGUCUUGCGAAAGUAAAGGGCGGUUCGAGAGAACCGGUCGCUUUUAGAGGAGCCUGCGAUCGAUCAGGUAGUUGGUGAGGUAACGGCUCACCAAGCCGACGACCGAUAGCUGAUCUGAGAGGAUGACCAGCCACACUGGGACUGCGAAACGGCCCAG